rnacentral:rRNA from 1 species
GGGAUGCGUUCCAUUAGAUAGUAGGCGGGGUAACGGCCCACCUAGUCAACGAUGGAUAGGGGUUCUGAGAGGAAGGUCCCCCACAUUGGAACUGAGACACGGUCCAAACUCCUACGGGAGGCAGCAGUGAGGAAUAUUGCACAAUGGGGGAAACCCUGAUGCAGCAACGCCGCGUGAAGGAAGAAGGUUUUCGGAUCGUAAACUUCUAUCAACAGGGACGAAGAAAGUGACGGUACCUGAAUAAGAAGCCCCGGCUAACUACGUGCCAGCAGCCGCGGUAAUACGUAGGGGGCAAGCGUUAUCCGGAAUUACUGGGUGUAAAGGGAGCGUAGGCGGCACGCCAAGCCAGAUGUGAAAGCCCGAGGCUUAACCUCGCGGAUUGCAUUUGGAACUGGCGAGCUAGAGUACAGGAGAGGAAAGCGGAAUUCCUAGUGUAGCGGUGAAAUGCGUAGAUAUUAGGAAGAACACCAGUGGCGAAGGCGGCUUUCUGGACU